CCUACGGGAGGCAGCAGUGGGGAAUAUUGGGCAAUGGGCGCAAGCCUGACCCAGCAACGCCGCGUGAAGGAAGAAGGCUCUCGGGUUGUAAACUUCUUUUAUCAGGGACGAAGCAAGUGACGGUACCUGAUGAAUAAGCCACGGCUAACUACGUGCCAGCAGCCGCGGUAAUACGUAGGUGGCAAGCGUUAUCCGGAUUUACUGGGUGUAAAGGGCGUGUAGGCGGGAAAGCAAGUCAGAUGUGAAAACCAUGGGCUCAACCUGUGGCCUGCAUUUGAAACUGUUUUUCUUGAGUACUGGAGAGGAUAGUGGAAUUCCUAGUGUAGCGGUGGAAUGCGUAGAUAUUAGGAGGAACAUCAGUGGCGAAGGCGACUAUCUGGACAGCAACUGACACUGAGGCACGAAAGCGUGGGGAGCAAACAGGAUUAGAUACCCGAGUAGUC
rnacentral:rRNA from 1 species